AGAGCGAACGCUGGCGGCAGGCCUAAUACAUGCAAGUCGAACGCACCUUCGGGUGAGUGGCGGACGGGUGAGUAACACGUGGGAACGUGCCCUUUGGUUCGGAAUAAUCCGGGGAAACCUGGCCUAAUACCGGAUGUGCCCUUCGGGGGAAAGAUUUAUCGCCAUUGGAGCGGCCCGCGUCUGAUUAGCUUGUUGGUGGGGUAAUGGCCCACCAAGGCUACGAUCAGUAGCUGGUCUGAGAGGAUGAUCAGCCACACUGGGACUGAGACACGGCCCAGACUCCUACGGGAGGCAGCAGUAGGGAAUCUUGCGCAAUGGGCGAAAGCCUGACGCAGCCAUGCCGCGUGAAUGAUGAAGGUCUUAGGAUUGUAAACUGCUUUUCUCGGGGAAGAGAACGGACGGUACCCGAGGAAUCAGCCCCGGCUAACUACGUGCCAGCAGCCGC
rnacentral:rRNA from 1 species